rnacentral:rRNA from 1 species
ACGCUCGACACCUACGGAGGCAGCAGUGAGGAAUAUUGGUCAAUGGGCGCUAGCCUGAACCAGCCAAGUAGCGUGAAGGAUGAAGGCUCUAUGGGUCGUAAACUUCUUUUAUAUAAGAAUAAAGUGCAGUAUGUAUACUGUUUUGUAUGUAUUAUAUGAAUAAGGAUCGGCUAACUCCGUGCUAGCACGGCCGGACGGUAAUCUGAGGCCGGGUCGUGGACGAAGGC